ACUUAAGCAUAUCAAUAAGCGGAGGAAAAGAAACCAACAGGGAUUGCCUCAGUAACUGCGAGUGAAGCGGCAAAAGCUCAGAUUUGAAAUCUGUCGCCUCCGGCGGCCGAGUUGUAAUCUGGAGAGGCAUCUUCUGGCGGGCGGCCGGUCCAAGUUCCUUGGAACAGGACGUCGGAGAGGGUGAGAAUCCCGUAUCUGGCCGGUCCGACCCGUCGUGUGAAGUGUCUUCGACGAGUCGAGUUGUUUGGGAAUGCAGCUCAAAAUGGGUGGUAAACUCCAUCUAAAGCUAAAUAUUGGCGGGAGACCGAUAGCGCACAAGUAGAGUGAUCGAAAGAUGAAAAGCACUUUGAAAAGAGAGUCAAAAAGUACGUGAAAUUGUUGAAAGGGAAGCGCUCGAGACCAGACUCGGGUUUUGGUGAUCAGCCGCGGUUCUCCGCGGUGCACUCGCCUCUGCCCGGGCCAGCAUCGGUUUCGGCGGCGGGAUAAAGGUCGGGGCAACGUGGCUCCCCCUCGGGGGAGUGUUUAUAGGCCCCGGCGUCAUGCCGCCAGCCGGGACCGAGGACCGCGCUUCGGCUAGGAUGCUGGCGUAAUGGUCUUCAGCGACCCGUCUUGAAACACGGACCAAGGAGUCUAACAUCUAUGCGAGUGUUCGGGUGCCAAACCCCUGCGCGUAAUGAAAGUGAACGGAGGUGGGAACCCCUCUUGCGGGGGGCGCACCAUCGACCGAUCCUGAUGUCUUCGGAUGGAUUUGAGUAGGAGCAUAGCUGUUGGGACCCGAAAGAUGGUGAACUAUGCCUGAAUAGGGUGAAGCCAGAGGAAACUCUGGUGGAGGCUCGCAGCGGUUCUGACGUGCAAAUCGAUCGUCAAAUUUGGGUAUAGGGGCGAAAGACUAAUCGAACCAUCUAGUAGCUGGUUCCUGCCGAAGUU
rnacentral:rRNA from 1 species